UCUUCACAAUUAUCAAACUUUUAUGCCGCAUGGAUAAAGAUGUUUGGAAUAAGAUUUGAGAAUAGUAUAUCAAUGUUGCUAUACUUUCUUAAAAUUAAGCAAUGAUUUGGUUGUGUUUUUCUUCAAACCCAUUUUGUAUAUAAUAUAACAAAUGAGUAUGAGUGGAAAACCAAGACAACACCAUUA
rnacentral:misc_RNA from 1 species